rnacentral:rRNA from 1 species
GAUGAACGCUGGCGGCGUGCCUAAUACAUGCAAGUCGAGCGAACGGACGAGACGCUUGCUUUUUUGUUGUUAGCGGCGGACGGGUGUGUAACACGUGUAUCACCUACCUAUCUGACUGGGAUCACUUCGGGACACCGGAGCUAAUACCGGAUAAUCUUUUGAACCGCAUGGUUCAUAAGUGAGAGACGGUCUUGCUGUCUCUUAUAGAUGCAUCUGCGCUGCAUUAGCUAGUUGGUAAGGUAACGGCUUUCCAAGGCAACGAUGCAUAGCCGACCUGAGAGGGGGAUCGGCCACACUGGAACUGGGACACGGUCCAGGCUCCUACGGGAGGCAGCAGUAGGGAAUCUGCCGCAAUGGUCGAAAGCCUUACGGAGCAACGCCGAGUGAGAGAUGAAGGUCUUCGGAUCGUAAUGCUCUGUUAUUAGGGAAGAACAUAUGUGUAAGUAACUGUGCACAUCGUGACGGUAAUUGAUCAGAAAGCCACGGCUAACUACGUG